rnacentral:rRNA from 1 species
GAAGCACCGGCUAACUCCGUGCCAGCAGCCGCGGUAAUACGGAGGGUGCGAGCGUUAAUCGGAAUUACUGGGCGUAAAGCGCAUGCAGGUGGUUUGUUAAGUCAGAUGUGAAAGCCCGGGGCUCAACCUCGGAAUAGCAUUUGAAACUGGCAGACUAGAGUACUGUAGAGGGGGGUAGAAUUUCAGGUGUAGCGGUGAAAUGCGUAGAGAUCUGAAGGAAUACCGGUGGCGAAGGCGGCCCCCUGGACAGAUACUGACACUCAGAUGCGAAAGCGUGGGGAGCAAACAGGAUUAGAUACCCUGGUAGUCCACGCCGUAAACGAUGUCUACUUGGAGGUUGUGGCCUUGAGCCGUGGCUUUCGGAGCUAACGCGUUAAGUAGACCGCCUGGGGAGUACGGUCGCAAGAUUAAAACUCAAAUGAAUUGACGGGGGCCCGCACAAGCGGUGGAGCAUGUGGUUUAAUUCGAUGCAACGCGAAGAACCUUACCUACUCUUGACAUCCAGAGAAGCCAGCGGAGACGCAGGUGUGCCUUCGGGAGCUCUGAGACAGGUGCUGCAUGGCUGUCGUCAGCUCGUGUUGUGAAAUGUUGGGUUAAGUCCCGCAACGAGCGCAACCCUUAUCCUUGUUUGCCAGCGAGUAAUGUCGGGAACUCCAGGGA